rnacentral:rRNA from 1 species
GACGAACGCUGGCGGCGUGCCUAAUACAUGCAAGUAGAACGCACAGUUUAUACCGUAGCUUGCUACACCAUAAACUGUGAGUUGCGAACGGGUAAGUAACGCGUAGGUAACCUGCCUGGUAGCGGGGGAUAACUAUUGGAAACGAUAGCUAAUACCGCAUAAUAUUAAUUAUUGCAUGAUAAUUGAUUGAAAGAUGCAAUUGCAUCACUACCAGAUGGACCUGCGUUGUAUUAGCUAGUAGGUGAGGUAACGGCUCACCUAGGCGACGAUACAUAGCCGACCUGAGAGGGUGAUCGGCCACACUGGGACUGAGACACGGCCCAGACUCCUACGGGAGGCAGCAGUAGGGAAUCUUCGGCAAUGGACGAAAGUCUGACCGAGCAACGCCGCGUGAGUGAAGAAGGUUUUCGGAUCGUAAAGCUCUGUUGUAAGAGAAGAACGGGUGUGAGAGUGGAAAGUUCACACUGUGACGGUAUCUUACCAGAAAGGGACGGCUAACUACGUG